GGCGCGAGCAGGUGCGAAAGCAGGUCAUAGUGAUCCGGUGGUUCUGAUUGGACGGGCCAUCGCUCAACGGAGAAAAGGUACUCCGGGGAUAACAGGCUGAUACCGCCCAAGAGUUCAUAUCGACGGCGGUGUUUGGCACCUCGAUGUCUGCUCAUCACAUCCUGGGGCUGAAGUAGGUCCCAAGGGUAUGGCUGUUCGCCAUUUAAAGUGGUACUCGAGCUGGGUUUAGAACGUCGUGAGACAGUUCGUUCCCUAUCUGACGUGGGCGAUGGAG
rnacentral:rRNA from 1 species